rnacentral:lncRNA from 1 species
UGGAGACAGGAUCCUCACCCUGGGCCAGACAGUCUGUAUUUGCACCCAAACUCUGGUGUUUGCUAUGGUUUUGUGCCUACUCAGAUGGACUCACUUCAUCUGAGGCACAUUGUGUGUGAUGUGACAGAGAUGGAGUCUGGCAGACAGCAACCCUGCUGAGCACCUCACAGCCUGCCCCUUCUUUCCUCCCAGAUCCUGUGUAUGGUACCUUCAUUCUGCUGACCUCUGUCUGUCUUUGUGAGCCAAGGCUGUAUUUUAAUGAGCAAAGUUUUGAAUAGUGUCUUAAUACCUGUUACGGUAGAUGGUGUCCACACUGGAAGUGCCACUGAGCCUUGUGGCCCACAGGACUGGCCUCGAGUGACUGUCUGCAUCUGCGCCCACUCCAGUGCACUUGGCUGGCCACACACAGCCUUCUGUCUUAGCUGUGUCCUGUCGACUGACAGUUGAGAUGCCUUUGGUGA